GGCUGGUCUGAAGGUAGUGAGUUAUCUCACUUGAUUGUUCACAGUUAUAGAUCAAACUUCUUGUUCUACUGUUUCCCCUCUUCUCACUACUGUACUUGACUAGUCUUUG
ensembl:Y_RNA Y_RNA Y RNA